rnacentral:rRNA from 1 species
UUCGGCGGCCAUGUCGAAGGGGAAACGCCCGGUUACAUUCCGAACCCGGAAGCUAAGCCCUUCAGAGCCGAUGGUACUGCCCUGGUGACGGGGUGGGAGAGUAGGACGCCGCCGGAC